CCCUUAGAUGUUCUGGGCCGCACGCGUGCUACACUGAUGCAUUCAACGAGUCUAAAACCUGGUCUGAUAGGGCUGGGUAAUCUUUUGAAAGUGCAUCGUGAUUGGGAUAGAUGAUUGCAAUUCUUCAUCUUCAACGAGGAAUGCCUAGUAAACGCAAGUCAUCAGCUUGCAUUGAUUACGUCCCUGCCCUUUGUACACACCGCCCGUCGCUCCCACCGAUUGAAUGAUCCGAUGAAUAUCAUGGAUUGAGGAUGCAAGUAGGUUCGCCUAUCUUCAUCUUCGAGAAGUGAAGUAAAUCUUAUCAUUUAGAGGAAGGAGAAGUCGUAACA
rnacentral:rRNA from 1 species